rnacentral:rRNA from 1 species
GCAGUCGAACGGUGACCUCGGAGCUUGCUCCGGGUGAUCAGUGGCGAACGGGUGAGUAACACGUGACCAACCUGCCCCCGACUCUGGGAUAACCCCGGGAAAUCGGAGCUAAUACCGGAUACGAGACGCACAGGCAUCUGUUGCGUCUGGAAAGAAUUUCGGUCGGGGAUGGGGUCGCGGCCUAUCAGCUAGUUGGUGGGGUAACGGCCCACCAAGGCGACGACGGGUAGCCGGCCUGAGAGGGCGACCGGCCACACUGGGACUGAGACACGGCCCAGACUCCUACGGGAGGCAGCAGUGGGGAAUAUUGCACAAUGGGCGCAAGCCUGAUGCAGCGACGCCGCGUGAGGGAUGACGGCCUUCGGGUUGUAAACCUCUUUCAGCAGGGAAGAAGCGAAAGUGACGGUACCUGCAGAAGAAGCGCCGGCUAACUACGUGCCAGCAGCCGCGGUAAUACGUAGGGCGCAAGCGUUGUCCGGAAUUAUUGGGCGUAAAGAGCUCGUAGGCGGUCUGUCGCGUCUGCUGUGAAAACCCGAGGCUCAACCUCGGGCUUGCAGUGGGUACGGGCAGACUAGAGUGCGGUAGGGGAGACUGGAAUUCCUGGUGUAGCGGUGGAAUGCGCAGAUAUCAGGAGGAACACCGAUGGCGAAGGCAGGUCUCUGGGCCGCAACUGACGCUGAGGAGCGAAAGCGUGGGGAGCGAACAGGAUUAGAUACCCUGGUAGUCCACGCCGUAAACGUUGGGCACUAGGUGUGGGGCUCAUUCCACGAGUUCCGUGCCGCAGCAAACGCAUUAAGUGCCCCGCCUGGGGAGUACGGCCGCAAGGCUAAAACUCAAAGGAAUUGACGGGGGCCCGCACAAGCGGCGGAGCAUGCGGAUUAAUUCGAUGCAACGCGAAGAACCUUACCAAGGCUUGACAUAUACCGAAAACUCAUGGAGACAUUGGGUCCUUACGGGCGGUAUACAGGUGGUGCAUGGUUGUCGUCAGCUCGUGUCGUGAGAUGUUGGGUUAAGUCCCGCAACGAGCGCAACCCUCGUCCUAUGUUGCCAGCACAUCAUGGUGGGGACUCAUAGGAGACUGCCGGGGUCAACUCGGAGGAAGGUGGGGAUGACGUCAAAUCAUCAUGCCCCUUAUGUCUUGGGCUUCACGCAUGCUACAAUGGCCGGUACAAAGGGCUGCGAUACCGCAAGGUGGAGCGAAUCCCAAAAA